rnacentral:piRNA from 1 species
UGAUCUGUCUUCUGGUCUCAGGG